rnacentral:rRNA from 1 species
GACGAACGCUGGCGGCGUGCUUAACACAUGCAAGUCGAACGGAAAGGCCCUGCUUUUGUGGGGUGCUCGAGUGGCGAACGGGUGAGUAACACGUGAGUAACCUGCCCUUGACUUUGGGAUAACUUCAGGAAACUGGGGCUAAUACCGGAUAGGAGCUCCUGCUGCAUGGUGGGGGUUGGAAAGUUUCGGCGGUUGGGGAUGGACUCGCGGCUUAUCAGCUUGUUGGUGGGGUAGUGGCUUACCAAGGCUUUGACGGGUAGCCGGCCUGAGAGGGUGACCGGCCACAUUGGGACUGAGAUAGGGCCCAGACUCCUACGGGAGGCAGCAGUGGGGAAUAUUGCACAAUGGGCGGAAGCCUGAGGCAGCAACGCCGCGUGCGGGAUGACGGCCUUCGGGUUGUAAACCGCUUUCGCCUGUGACGAAGCGUGAGUGACGGUAAUGGGUAAAGAAGCACCGGCUAACUACGUG